rnacentral:lncRNA from 1 species
GGCUUGCUGAGCUGCGCUGUGCUCCGUGGUUGCUGUGGCAACGGCUGGCAACAGCUCCGGCCGCACCGAGGGGAGCAGGAGCUCGGAGCCGGCUGCGGGGCCCCUGGGCGGCGGCGCCUGUGAGUUGGCCGCAGGGUCUUGGUGGGGAACAGGGCGCAGAGCUGACGGGCAGUCGGGGCUGUUCCAGGGUCCGAGGUCCCGGCAGCGAUCAAGGGGUCGCAGCGCGAGGGGCUUAGGGACUGGCCGGGGCAUCCUCUCCUCGUGCUCCCACCCUUCGUCUCAGGGGCCCCUCAGGUUUUCCAGGCCCCGCUCCUCCUCAGCCUCCCCCGGCCCCUUCUUCUCAUUCCCAUGACAAUAGCAGAGCCUCCCACCGGGGUGUUCGCUUUGCUUCCAACUUCUAUUUAGCCCCGAGGCCUCGAAGCAAUCAUUUUUCAAAGAUUUUGUGUUUCGUGGCCCAGGCGGGGUGCCACGCUCCCACCCCCUGGUCCUCCGCACUCUCCUUCCCAGGAGGACCCUGACGAUCGAUGUCUCACCAAUACACCCUCAGAUGUACUUCAUCUAUAUGGUCGCAUUUCAUAGCCACGGUCCUGCUCUAAAAUGGUUCGUUUUCAGGAUUAGCUCGCCUUUACAGUGGAGCAUUCUAGGCUCAGCAAGUGCCCCAGGACGAGGGCGAGUGAGUGCCCGUUGCUAUGACUCACCACCUAUGCUGGAUGCCAGGUGUAUUGUCCUCUGUGUGUGCUCAACUGUUUACCUUGGAUUUGUUUCUUGCUCCCUUCCUCUAAAUUUAGUACUGCAAAAUCAGUAAGGCAGAGCUUUAACACAAACCGUCCUACAAGGUUCUUCCGCCUAAGAGUUAACUGAGAAUACAUUUUCUUGUCUUUUCUGAAAGAACGUAGACUCUGUUCCAUAGAAACACAGAAGGAGCCCAAGGUUGACAUUUAAAUUAAGGAACGUGAAACAAAAGAGAGAAAUUGUUCUGGGAAAUAUUUUAGUCUUGUGAAAAUUCUC